AUUGAACGCUGGCGGCAGGCCUAACACAUGCAAGUCGAACGAGUGGCGGACGGGAGAGUAAUGACUGGGACACGGACUGGUGGAGGGGGAUAACUACCGGAAACGAUAGCUACUACCGCACACCAUCAGCUGUGCCCGGUUAGGAUUAGCUAGUUGGUGGGGUAACGGCUCACCAAGGCGACGAUCCGUACCUGGUCUGAGAGGAUGACCAGCCACACUGGAACUGAGACACGGUCCAGACUCCUACGGGAGGCAGCAGUGGGGAAUAUUGCACAAUGGGCGAAAGCCUGAUGCAGCCAUGCCGCGUGUGUGAAGAAGGCCUUCGGAUUGUAAAGCACUUUAAGCUGGGAGGCGUUACCCGCAGAAGAAGCACCGGCUAACUCCGUGCCAGCAGCCGCGGUAAUAC
rnacentral:rRNA from 1 species